rnacentral:lncRNA from 1 species
GCCCCUUUACCAUUCUGUAUAAAUGGGCUAUUCUAUUUGUACAGAUAUGGUAGAGGGGCGCAUUCAAUUUUUGUUUGUCUAUUGGUUUUCAAUUCUUCUCUUCAGCGCGGGGUAGAGCAGUUUGGUAGCUCGCAAGGCUCAUAACCUUGAGGUCACGGGUUCAAAUCCUGUCUCCGCAAUAUCUUUUUUGUCAACACCUUUUUAUUUUAGGUUUGACUCUGUUAACUAGUAAUUAAUUAGCACCUUUUAUUUUGGGAUGGGAGGAAAAGAAGGGGCGAAUAGAAUCACUACACUAUUACGGUCAACUAUACCGAAUCCUUUAUCUUUUUAUCAUAUGAAAUAAAUUGCUCCAUCUUGGGCGGAUAGCGGGAAUCGAACCCGCGUCUUCUCCUUGGCAAAGAGAAAUUUUACCAUUCGACUAUAUCCGCAUUUAUUCGUUCUUGAUACACAACAAGUCCACACAUAUAUGAUAUACGCCUGGAUCCUAUUUGUGCAGUGCCAGGCCACAGAGUCUCUUCAGAGUGAGUUCAAUUAGGUUAUUCAUUUUAAUUUUUUUCAUUCAAAUUCAAGAACAAGAAGUGCGACCCCCCUCUAAUUUUUUGUUUUCUUUAUUUGCAUUUUGGGGACUUUUAUUGAAUUUUGCUGUGUCUCACAACCGAGAAAAAUUCGGGGGGGGGNNNNNNNNNNNNNNNNNNNNNNNNNNNNNNNNNNNNNNNNNNNNNNNNNNNNNNNNNNNNNNNNNNNNNNNNNNNNNNNNNNNNNNNNNNNNNNNNNNNNCGUAGUUCUAUUGCGCUGGGGCUGCUCCUUAGUCGUUGGCCUCCUUUGGUUCUUGGCUGUAGCACUUCUCUUGUGUGCGCAGGUUCCCCUAGCUCUGUUCAUGGAUCUAUUCUAAGACUAAAAAUUUAACUAUUCUUCUCAUUAUAGCUCCUAUUCCUACUUCUUCGAGCUUUUCCACCUGCUUUUAUAUCUUACAUCUAUUCUUCAAGCUCGAGCUCCUACUCAUUUAGAUAGGAUCUUACCCCCCGAGUAGGUUUUUUUACCUUUUGGAUCUUUUUCUCGGGCUUUUUUGCUCUUGAAAACAGCUACCACCCAACAUAGAAAUGGGCACUUGUGCUGUAAGACCUGGGAUAAGACAGCGAGGACAGUUCUUCGUCUUCUUCGUGAGCUGAACUGAGCUUAUCUAUUGAGGAAAAAUGGCUUUCUUCGUUCUCAUCCCUUGACUCGCUAGACUGCAAAGCUGGACCUCCCUACUUACUGGAUUGCCCCUUUUUAGUUACAGAAACCUUAGGCAAAGAGCUUUUCUGUGUCACAUCAAACAAGAGCAAAAGUGCAUUUCAAAGGCGAAAAAUCAAAGAUUACAAGCUUGUGCCUCUUUUCAUUCUACUUUUAUUUUCUGGAAAUAAGGAGUGCUACCGUACACAUUUAGGGCACCCCUCAUCCUUUAAAAAAAAGAAAAAAGGGCUUUGAUGUGCUUGCACAUGUACUCAGGCACCGGGUAGGUAUGCAAUCACAUCUCGGUCUCUCCUCUUUCUUGUUAGUCCUUGGCUCGGGCAGCUGCUGCUCAGCGGUACCACUCUCGACGAUGGGACCAGGGAUAGUCUUUCUAGUCGCUUUCUUUCUUUGCUUAGACCGGGCAAUCUGACUCACUUCUUCCAAACUAAAGUCACUACAAACAAAGGGAGCCUGGUCUAGUUGGUGAAUCAGUCGACAAAGAGAUGACCAAGCCUUUUUGAAGUGGACCUCGAUCUCACUUCCUUGCCAUUCAGGGAAAGCCUCCUGCAGCAGACUUUGGGCUGUGUGAGAAGAUGCGUUAGUGCUUAAGAUACCGGCCCUAGCUACACCGGCUAUCGGUUGAGCAUCGGACGGACAUAGGCCUAGAUUCUCUCCGACGUCUAGAGUGGAGGUAAAACGAGUAUCAGCUAAGGCUGAUCCAAGCUCCACUGAUAUGGCCCAGGAGGGAGCAGCAAGCACAUGUACCAGUGAUACCAGCAAGAAAACGUAUGCGCUAACGAGCGAGUUCAGUAUAUGUAACGAGGCAUUAGAGCAACGGGUGAGCGUACUACUACUAGACUAGCGCGCGAAAACCGUUGCUUGUUUGGUUGCCUUGCUAUCGGCAUGGCCUUUAAUGAAUGGUAUUAAGCAAAUGGAGAGCUCCCAUGUGAGUAUCCUCGGUCUCACUCUUGUCCGAGUUAUCUUGGCUUGACUCACGUUGAGCAGCCAACAAUGCGUUUAAGGCGGCCUUCUGAGGACAUUGGUAGGUCGAUCCACCGCAGAGAAUGCAUUUUAGGGGUUUAUGAUGAUGGUUUGAAGAGGCACCGGUGCUUCGUGAGUGGGAGGACUCUUUCCGUGAGCUAGAGCUUGAGCUUGCUCCCCCUUCAUUCAGCCGGAGCUAGUGAAUUCAAUGAUAGAUUCUUUAGCCAAAAGGCGGGUGGCAUUUUCCGGAGUAAGCUAAGGUAUCUUAUUACGUUUAUAAUGUUCCAUCCACGCUGAAGCAAAGAAAACACGCCCACUUGAACGCUUUGUUAAUGAACUUAGUCUAAUAGAAAAAACAAAAGAGAUUUCUUUCUGGUUUGAGAGAGUCCUUGUAUUCCUUUCCCAGAGUACUCUGUAUCCAAAGGCUAAACUAGUGGGUUAUCUAGGUAUUUAAUGUAGCGAGGCCCCGUCGAUUGAAGGCAUCGAUCAUUUCUUUCUCGACUGCUUGUCGUGCAAAAAAUGGAAUAACUGAGUUCAAAAGGGGAGUAUUUUGAACUUUCUGUUCGUGUUCAGUGCCCCAAACCGGUUUUGAAAGGAAUUUUUUGUCAAAUCCACCAGGUAAGGAAGAUAGGUCAUUAUCAGCGUCCCCAUCGGAAGAGGCAGCAUAAGCAGCUGAAGUUAAAGAGGAGAAGUAGUUAAGAGAUAGAACCAAUUCGACGAAAUAAAAGGUAGGCACUACUAUUUCAUACGAAGACGAGGAGCAGUGAGCAGUGUCUCUUUUGGUAGGAAGAACAGGAGGCUUUCCCAACUCAAUGUAACAAUUAAGUAAGGCCUGUUUAUCUCGCUUAAAAUUAACCGGUUGCAGAGAGUUCUAAUAUUAUCUUAUGGCUACAAAAGGAAGUAGGUAUAGCCCUAAAGGAAAAGAAUAAUAGGAUGCUUAAGCCAAUAAGAUAGAUAAAGCAUACCCCUACUACUCGUAAAAAAACUCUGUCACUUCCUUCCCCAGCGUUCAGUGGAACGUGAGGCACUCUUUAUUAGCUUUCAGGCAAUGGAAGGGGCUAUUCCCACUACGCGCUAACUAGAAGAGCUGGAAAGAAGUAUGUAAGUUUCUGCCCUUCUUCGUCUCCAAUGCUGCCCUCUAUUCUCUAUGUGUCGGUGUGGCUAUCUUCUCAUAUUGAUUCUUUCCUUAAAAGGCAUUUUUUUUAUUCUUUCUUUGGGAUUCAACGGCAAAAAGUCGACGUGAAGCACUAUUCCCACAGCAGCAGGUUGGAUUCUCCAACUUUUGCAAAUGAACCCCGUUCAAGUUCCAUCCCAACUGUCUCAUCUUGAGAAAGGGCAAUAUGGCAAUAUUUAUUAGGUCAAUCAGGCUUCGCACCUUCCCUUCCCCGUGGUUUAAUCGGAGUAACCGCGUAAGACAUAUUCUUUGGCAAAGCAAGCUCACUGCCUUAAUUUAGGAGUGAAAGAGCCCGAACAGCUUUUAUUUCACCAAGAGCGGGAACUCAGACAGCGUAUGAGUAGCUCGGAUCUAGCUAGACUGCUCGCUAGGCCCCUUGCCUCCCUUUAAGCAUAAAAAUAGGAGAUCUUUGGGUCUCGGCUAUCACUUGACUUUCCUUAGUUUCAAAGGAUUUAAGAAGCUAACUCUCACAACGGUUAGUGAUUCAAUCACACCGGAUAGGAGAAUUCUAAGAGCGUCAAGGCUUAGAGCUUCUUCUCAAGCUGCCUAUUUUGUGUGUGGGUUAACUAUUGAUUCAAUUGCGCAAAGAAGCCUAGUUGUCCUAAGAGCUGAUUCGGGAACUGCUUCAAUUCCAAGAGGAGCGCUUACUCUUGCAGCUUUUUCUUUCACAACUCUUUCUAUCACAACCUAUUUUUCCUCAUACGGAUCUAAGCUCUCGCAAGUGCCUUCCCUUCCUUUUUGCCUAUUCGAUAGGAGCUUGCAUUCUCUGCAUCUAAAGGGGGAGUUCUUUUAUAUUAAAGAAUAGUUGGCAUCAGUGUUAUCAGUGCAUCUAUGAAUCCAACCUUCCCUCACAGUGGGAAGGGAUAAACGUCGAUUCCUCCUUGUAAUGGUUAUUUCAGAUUCUGUAAGAGCGAAUUCUAUGGUACAAAAAGGCUAUGAAGAUUGUAUGCUUUCCUUUACACCUUCAAGCUUGAAGGUUCGCGAAAGCAGUUCGGUGAUUGCAAAGUACUCAAUCAGGCCCUAUCUCCUACGCUACCAUCUGUCUUCGAUUAGAAAAUGGAUAGUUAGAGGGAAUUAGAGAGAAAACUCCUAAAAGAAAAGCACGCAUGAGAAAGUAUACGAUAGCACCAUCUCUUCCCACUACGCGCUAAGAAGGAAAAGAAAGGAAAGGACAUCACACUGAUAUUUAUUCUAGAGAUACCAAUAUCGACAAGUGGAAUAGCCGAAGAAAGAGCGGCAGAAGGCCUAGUACCACCAGAACAGGAAGAGCAUAAACUCGGUUCCACAGAAAGGAGAGGAAAGAAGACAGGUUCGGAGCCGUUAGUAGCCUAGUCCAAUAUUCGGGGUAGCAAGUCAAGCAAGUAGGGGUUCCACGGUUCAAGGAGAGGGGAAUGGUACAAGAGUCUCGAGAGGUCUCAUAUCGGAAAAUGAAUGCUACGUGUGGCGAUUGGAAGUGAGAGUAUUGGAUCUCGGGCUCAUCAAUACCGGUUGAGACUGUAGGUUCGAAGCCUACUGAGCCCAUCUUAUCAACAAAACUAGGUAAAUGCCCUUCGUUGCUUCCCUUGCCUUUGAUUUGGAAUGAGAGAGGAGAUCGAGUCGCUUCCGCCUGAACUUACUUUACUUUACUUUACUU